UACGAAGGGUGCAAGCGUUACUCGGAAUUACUGGGCGUAAAGCGCGCGUAGGCGGAUCGCUAAGUCAGGGGUGAAAUCCCAGGGCUCAACCCUGGAACUGCCUUUGAUACUGACGAUCUGGAGAUCGGGAGAGGUUGGUGGAAUUCCGAGUGUAGAGGUGAAAUUCGUAGAUAUUCGGAGGAACACCAGAAGCGAAGGCGGCCAACUGGCCCGAUACUGACGCUGAGGCGCGAAAGCGUGGGGAGCAAACAGG
rnacentral:rRNA from 1 species